rnacentral:tRNA from 1 species
GCGGAUAUAGUACAUCGGUAGUACAUGAGCUUCCCAAGCUUAGGAGGCGGGUUCGACUCCCGUUAUCCGCU